GAAGCUACAUGCAAUGGGCUACAAGCCACUCCUCCUCCUUCAGAAGGAAGGCAAUGGCAAGAACCCUAAAAUAACUUCCCUCACCCCAAGAUGCGAGCUGGACCCACUGGCUACACAACACCUCAGCAAAAUAACAGCAUUUUAUGAGUUGGUUUGUGCAGGUUGGAAGGCGAGUGAGGACACUGUCCUCACCCUGACCCUCACCCCCUGUGACGAGCAGGGCACCUCAGGGGAGGCGGGGCCAGAAAUCCUUGUGCAGGAGGUGGGGCCGGAAGGCCUCAUGGAGGAGGCGGAGCUGAAAGGUCCCGCUGUGGAGACUGAAGGCCUUGUGGAGGAGGCAGAGCUGGAAGGCCCAGCUGUGGAGACUGAAGGCCUCGUGGAGAAGGCGGGGCUGGAAGGCAUCGUGGAGGAGGCGGGGCUGGAAGGCCCCACUGUGGUGAAUGAAGGCCUUGUGGAGGAGGCGGGGCUGGAAGGCCCCACUGUGGAGACGGCAGGCCUUGUGGAGGAGGCAGAGCUGGAAGGCCCAGCUGUGGAGACUGAAGGCCUCGUGGAGAAGGCGGGGCUGGAAGGCCUCGUGGAGGAGGCGGAGCUGGAAGGGCCAGCUGUGGAGACUGAAGGCCUCGUGGAGAAGGCGGGGCUGAAAGGCUUCGUGGAGGAGGCGGGGCUGGAAGGCCCCACUGUGGUGAAUGAAGGCCUUGUGGAGGAGGCGGGGCUGGAAGGCCCCACUGUGGAGACGGCAGGCCUUUUGGAGAAGGCGGGGCUGGAAGGCCUCGUGGAGGAGGCGGGGCUGAAAGGCCCCACUGUGGUGAAUGAAGACCUUGUGGAGGAGGCGGCAGGCCUUUUGGAGAAGGUGGGGCUGGAAAGCCCUGCUGUUGAGGCUGAAGGCCUCGUGGAGGAGGCGGGUGAAAUACAUCUACCUAAAAAAGGGUCAACAAGGAAGAGAAAGCGGAAGUCAGAGGCAGAAAUGGAUAAAAGCAAAAAAAAACAAAAAAAUUGCUCCUACCACACAGGCCUAGGUGUUUAUCCAAUUAGGAGUGCUCUGAAAGAAAGAGUGAGAAAGGGCCAAAUAGAAUUGCUGAUUGACUGGGAGCCUUGUGCAGCAUGUGGGAAACAGUGGACUCCUACUUGGGAGCCCAAGGAGUCAUUUGUUUAAGUUUAUUCAUUUAGUUAUAUAUGUUGUUUUAUUUUAUUAUUGUACAUUGCAUAUUCAAUAAAGUUUUGUUAUAGUAAUUUUGUGAUAUUUCUAUACAAAGUAAAGUGUUGUUUACAAGCCCUUUGUUGAAGAUGGUAGAUGUUCAACAUUUCCUGCCAUUUCAGAACUGGAUAAUUCAAGAAUGCCUAACUCCAUACAGAAACAUGUUCUGCUUUUGAUAUGUGGUUUAUCAAGAGGUUAGUAAAUUAUUCAACCAAGCAAAAUGCGUGCAUAAAUGGAAGCAGGACUCUGUACAUGCUGUAAGUCAGAUGCAAUUUAUUGUAUAUUAAAAAAAAUCCCUCACGAAUGACAGUGUUAAUAAUUUAAAAUGAAUGUGCAAUAUCCAUAAUGGUCAUCACAAACACAUGUUUCCAUAUGUAGUAUGCAUGGCAGUUUCCAACCUGCCAGUUUCCAAAAUUCAUACAAUAGAAGGUGAUGUAGUGUGAUUAUUUACAAUAUUUGUUAAUUUAGGAUUGGUUUGGGGGGUUGUGUGUGAUUGAUUUAGCUGAAACUUGUUAUUCUUGGUGGUUUAAAUGACCUUACAUCUGUCCCCUUUACUGAUGUUUUACCAGUCACUGCUCCUGAUAGGCUGAUGUGGUCCCACUCCAUUAUUUGGUUGCAGUUCCAUCAGUGGUCACUGGUAAGAAACAAGCUGAAGAAGCCGGUCUUUGUCGUGCCCCACUUCCCUGUAGUAGUCCCACUCCACUGUUUGGUCGUUGAUCCUUGGCUCUCCUGUUAUAUUGUGGUGGUGAGACUGUAGAAGGACCCAAAAAGAAGACCCAAGACGAUGAGAAUGUUCCAGUGGACAAUGGUGGUGGUGGUGCUGCUUUUACCUCAUGCCGCUUUUUGACUGUCCAGUCAAACAGCCUGCUAAGCCUAAACACAAUCCCCAACCCCCACACACACUACUUUUUUCCACCUUUCGUCUGCUUGCAUCCCUGUAGUUUCCAUUAAAUGUAUAUUAAAUAAAAUUUUUGCAAAAUAUUGUGAUAUUUUGUCACUUUCAUAUAGACAACAACAUUCAACAAAGUACAAAUUCAU